rnacentral:rRNA from 1 species
GGACAAAGGGCAGCUACACAGCGAUGUGAUGCUAAUCUCCAAACCAUGUCUCAGUUCGGAUCGGAGUCUGCAACUCGACUCCGUGAAGCUGGAUUCGCUAGUAAUCGCGCAUCAGCCAUGGCGCGGUGAAUACGUUCCCGGGCCUUGUACACACCGCCCGUCAAGCCAUGGGAGCCGGGGGUACCUGAAGUCCGUAACCGCGAGGAUCGGCCUAGGGUAAAACUGGUGACUGGGGCUAAGUCGUAACAAGGUAAC